AUGUACCUCAGAGACGAUGUGCAUAACAGCAAGCAUCCAAGGAACUCAAAUGGGAUCUUCAGUGGCACAAAUCUACAAAGCCUGUGCACCAUCCACUCUGUGUCCGGCCACAGUCAGUCAGACAUUUUCAGUCAACUUGGAUUAUCAAAGUGCAAUUGCAAAUGCUCAGUGCUGUAACACAGAUGACUGUAACUCAGAAACUCUGCCUUUCCUAGUCCGUCCUGCUCCGACAUCUGACUCGCCCCAGUGCAAUGUUUGUAACCCAGUCACUUUAGACUGCACCUCUACAAUAUCAUGUACAGAAACAGAGACCAACUGCCUAAGAGCAACAU